UAUUUAGAAAUCCAGUGUCGGUGACAGUGAGGAAGCUUGGAGAGUGAACCCGAAGUAGAGCUGCUGAGCUCAGAUGGCCGUGGAGUCCAGGGGUUGAGAAGGAUGGAUCCUCCUGGGUGAAGCCCAGGGAAAACUGACGUUGGUGAAGUGUUUAACUUUGCUGUCCUCAGGGAAAGAUGUCUGCCAAGCAGUGGACCACGGCUGUGAGCAUGCUUGUGUGAGCACUGGGGAGUCGUAUGUCUGCAAGUGCAUGGAGGGAUUCCGGCUGGCCGAGGAUGGGAGACGUUGCAGAAGGAAGGAUGUCUGCAAAUCGACCCACCAUGGCUGUGAACACAUUUGUGUUAACCGUGGUAACUCCUACAUCUGCAAAUGCUCAAAGGGAUUUAUUCUAGCUGAGGAUGGAAGACGGUGCAAAAGAUGCACUGAAGGCCCAGUUGACUUGGUUUUUGUGAUUGAUGGGUCCAAGAGCCUUGGAGAAGAUAAUUUUGAGAUUGUGAAGCAGUUUGUCACUGGAAUUAUAGAUUCCUUGGCGAUUUCUCCCAAAGCUGCUCGAGUAGGGCUGCUCCAGUAUUCCACACUGGUCCGCACAGAGCUCACCCUGAGAAACUUCAGCUCGGCCAAAGACAUGAAAAAAGCCGUGGCCCACAUGAAAUACAUGGGCAAGGGCUCUAUGACCGGGCUGGCCCUGAAACAUAUGUUUGAGAGAAGUUUUACCCAAGUAGAAGGGGCCCGGCCUCUCUCCACACGGGUGCCCAGAGUGGCCAUCGUCUUCACGGAUGGACGGGCUCAGGACGACGUCUCCGAGUGGGCCAGUAAAGCCCAGGCCAAUGGAAUAACUAUGUAUGCUGUUGGGGUGGGGAAAGCCAUUGAGGAGGAACUGCGAGAGAUCGCCUCUGAGCCCACAGAAAAGCACCUCUUCUAUGCGGAAGACUUCAGCACGAUGGGCGAGAUAAGUGCCAAACUGCAGAAAGGCAUAUGUGAAGCUCUGGAAGACUCUGAUGGAAGACAGGACUCUCCAGCAGGGGAACUGCCAAAGAGGGUCCACAAGCCAACAGAAUCUGAGCCAGUCACCAUAAAUAUCCGAGACCUACUUUCCUGUUCUAAUUUUGCAGUGCAACACAGAUAUCUGUUUGAAGAAGACAAUCUUGCACGGUCUACACAAAAAGUUUUCCAUUCGACAAAAUCCUCAGGAAGUCCUUUGGAAGAAAAACAGGAUCAAUGCAAAUGUGAAAACCUUAUAAUGUUCCAGAACCUUGCAAAUGAAGAACAUCAUCAGUUCAGCUCCCAGAGGCGUGCUAUGGUAAAUUAAUUUAUAAGCAACAGGGGAGUGAGCAGAACUAAAAUUUUUAAAAAGAAAAAUUUGAACUAUAUGGACUUAAUGUUAAAAAAAAAAAGCAUUUAACCCAACAUAGAUCUAUAGUCUUAAUAGUAUGUACUAAUGGGUUACUAUAAACUUUUAAGUCAGAAUUACAGAAAUGGAAAAAACAAAAGCCUUGUAUUUUGCAGGACACAAAUUCUUUUGUAGAUAAAUCAAGUUGUAUUUGAAUGUAAAUAGGCCAUUCAGAUUCCUCUUCCUUAAUUUGAGAUUUACUAGAAGAAAUGACACAGAGAAUGGAAGCCCUGGAAAAUCGCCUGCGAUACAGAUGAAGAUUCAAAAUGCUCUAUGUAUUUGUACAUCAUUGUAUCAAGGAUUACAGUGAAAACAGUUCAGAGCCCCCAAAGCUCAGGCUAUCAUUAAUUCUGUAAGGUUGUAAAGUAAAACAACAAGAGUUGAGAAAGCUGGUUUGCUAUAGAACAAAGGCAAAAAGUACACACUAACUUGUAUAAAUUCAUUGAGAAAA